rnacentral:misc_RNA from 1 species
AAGACUAUAGACCUGCGGAGUACCUGCGGAAGGAUCAUUAUUGAUUGAUAAAAGGAUGUGCUGGCAAAGAAAUUCUAUUUUUUUGCAUUGUGCACUCCUGAAAUCUUCAUCCACCAGUGCAUUUUGUAGACAAAUCAAUAAAUUAAUUUUUGUUGUUCUUUGUCUAUGUUUUUGAUACACAUUAUCAGCUUUAUGGAAUGGUGUUCGACUUAUCAAAAGUCAAAAAAUUUAAAACAACUU